rnacentral:rRNA from 1 species
AGUGAACGCUGGCGGUAGGCCUAACACAUGCAGGUCGAACGGCAGCACAGUAAGAGCUUGCUCUUACGGGUGGCGAGUGGCGGACGGGUGAGGAAUACAUCGGAAUCUACUUUUUCGUGGGGGAUAACGUAGGGAAACUUACGCUAAUACCGCAUACGACCUACGGGUGAAAGCAGGGGAUCUUCGGACCUUGGGCGAUUGAAUGAGCCGAUGUCGGAUUAGCUAGUUGGCGGGGUAAAGGCCCACCAAGGCGACGAUCCGUAGCUGGUCUGAGAGGAUGAUCAGCCACACUGGAACUGAGACACGGUCCAGACUCCUACGGGAGGCAGCAGUGGGGAAUAUUGGACAAUGGGCGCAAGCCUGAUCCAGCCAUACCGCGUGGGUGAAGAAGGCCUUCGGGUUGUAAAGCCCUUUUGUUGGGAAAGAAAAGCAGCAGGUUAAUACCCCGCUGUUCUGACGGUACCCAAAGAAUAAGCACCGGCUAACUUCGUG